UCGAUCCGUCCAGGACACAGAGCCACCCUCCUCUCGUGCGAUCUCGCUGCCGCCGCCCUCCGAUCCGCUCCUCCUCGUCUCCCGAGGAUACGCAACCGCAUCCGCCGACGCCGAUCCGGGCAGACGCAGCCGUCGUCGAUCACGAGGACACCGCUACCACCGACGCCUCGGUUACGUUGCUCGUCGCGGAUCAGGAUCCCCAGGACGCCGCCGCCGCCGCGGAUCCGCUGCCACGCACAGCUCGGGGCGGAGCCGCGACGGGCUCGGCUAUGGCCGCUGCUGCGUGCGCCCUUCGUCUCCAGGAUCGGCAAGCUCCGCCGCCAGCCACCCCCACGCACAUCGGCGUCAAGCUAUCUUCUUGUGUUGUUUUCCUCCAUAGGCUUAUGACUCGAGGCAUGAUGUGCACAAUUACAGAAGGCCAUACAGUCGGCGGCAAAGUGCUCGCUGUCGCCAAUGAUUGACUGUUGAGGAUCUCCAUUCGGGGCUACCUGCUCAAAUAAUAUGGUCAAUAGCUGAUCCUGUGAUCCAUUCUACGGAUGAAGAAGGAGAAGACGAGGGAACACAAUAAUUUCUGUGUAAUAUUAUUUGUUUAUGAUGUGGCUACUCUGGAAUACAAUUUAUGGGCGAGAGAGCAGACUUUCAAAUUUGGUGCGGUACUAUAUCUUAUCAGAUUCAGUAACCAGCAUGGAAUUAAUUUUAAUUUUGUUCUUCAUCAGAUAAGUAGAGCCACGCUUUACCCCAAUCUUCAUUUGAUGAAUCUCAACUACAAAAAUUGUGAUAGUUGCACUGUAUUUUGUUGGGUCCAACAUAAAGCUGAGAACAGAGUACCUACUUUGUCUUGGUAUAUCAAAAUAAUAAGGAAUAUGUGAGAUUAGAUAAGCCAAAUAGUUGGUACUUGCUGAGUCUACAAAAUUAUCUUAAUUGUUCCAUUUAGUAGUUCACUGAAUAUUAAACUAUGAUGUUUCUUCCAUUGGGAAGUUGUUUUAUGUAGCCUGAACAACAAACAACCUAUGAGCUUCUGAACCAAUUCUUUCUUUUUUAGUAGGACCUUAUGCUCUUUUAACUGAAAAACAGGGAGCACUAGCAGUUCUUCACAAGGUAAUCGCCUCCUAUGAAUGUUUGGUGGUGCUGCUCCAAUUUCUAUUGCAUUGCUUCUGAUGUAUGAAUGGACUAUUUUCCUAAUUUGCUAAUUAACGCAACUGGCGUAAUUCUUCAUGAGAAUAGAUAUUUUUGUAGUGCACAGUACGCGUUUUUUAGUUACCCUCCUUAUGAAUAGAUUUUUUGUAGUGUACAAUACACUUCUUUUGUCAGGAUUGCCUGUUGCUUGCUACUGCUACUGCUUGUACAAUUGUGUUGUUUUGUAUAAUUUCUUAACUGUUAAGAGAUAUUUCCACACUGAGAUUUUUCUAAGGGCAGGAAAAUGGAUUGGACAAUGCCGCUAGCUCGGAUGGAGCCCCGUCUGGAUGUCGAUUGGGGGCGACGUGAGGAGGGACAAGGUAGAGAAAGGGGGUCAGGUUAGCGCCCAGUAGAGGUGAGCGAGGGGGCCGGGGUUGCGUCGCCGCCGAGAUGCGCGAGGGGAUCGGAGCUGCGCCAAGCGGAUUCAUCAGAGCACUUUGCUCCCGCUGCCUUUGGCCUAAUGCUUAGAUGGGUUGAUGCGUAAGUUUGAAUCCUUUCAUUUUUCACUUCUCUAAUGGGUGGCUGAUGGCCUGAUGCUUUGAUGGAUUGAUGCAUGCUAGAACUGGCUGAUAUGUGCGUAUGUGUGCACAUUUUUUUCUUUUGAUUUUUGUAGAGAUUGGUUCAUGCUUCUCUGCAUAUGGAUUUCUUCUUUCUUCUGUCUGUGUUUGUCACUCUGUUGCUGAAUGAUCUGGUGAUUUUUUUUUCUUUGUGGGCUUAUCUGAUGAAAUUUACUGCUAAUUAGAUCGUGCACUGGCGCUGCCACCAGAAGAUCGAUCAUAGAUGCAUGUGUUUGCUUUCGAACAUGGUGGAUGGUGCGUAAUCUUUAGGUUUGCCAACUGUCACCUCCGGCAAUUUCAGUUCAACAUGUCUUGGUUUCUGCAUUCUGAGUUCAGAGUUCUACAUAGCGGAAUGGUUAGUAUAUGGGAGUUUGCAUCUACAAUUGCAUACUGUAGUUCCAUUUCGUCCUUCCUUAUUCAGAGAUGAACUGAACCUCUCAUUUUUCAUGUACUUUUGUGUGAUUGUAUGAAAGUGCGGUGGAACUGACUAUUCCGGGGGGAAAUCAAAUGAUACCACAUUAGUAGUAGAACGUACUACUUGCUCUUAAGAUUUCAGAAAUGACAUGUCAAGGACAGGGUAUAGAGCUCCGAAAAUUAUUCUCCUUCCGUCAUCGGUUGCUAAAUCAGUAACGCCCAGCCUCGUGUGCGAUGGAGCCCUUACUGCUGUUCACAACUGAACUCUUUAUUUUAUUUUAAUCCUUCGGAUUUGUCGGGUCAAGGAUCCUUCAGUUUUGUCGGAUCAGGAAGUACUGGGACUUCAAGGACGAUGUAGAUUGUCGAAGGCAAAGUUGCAGAGUGCAUGGGCAGCAGUACCAGUGCAAGAACCUCGCGCAUGACGGAGCUCCUAUGGCAGAGAAGCAAAACUCAACGACUAACUCUACAAGCUCUGGUCACUGUCUUAAACAUCACCAACAUAUUACUAAAUUUGGACAAGCAACCUGCCAACAGAUACAAAGAAGGGAUAUAUGUCUUUUGAUCUUCUUGAUGGCAUAUAUGAGGACCUGCAAUACUGAGCCUGGAAGUUAGUCGUUGAGGCACUGGUCAUGGUAGUGAUAUCUACUGCCAGAACAUAAACGUUUGGCCCUCCUUGUUGCCACGAAGGAUUUUGAUCUACUGGAUUUGCAGAACCAGUUAAUGGCAUGAUGUUGUGCUAGGAUUAGGAUGGAUUGGCGUCCUCUUCUCACGAAACACACUGACACAAAGUUUCUGGUUUCUGACGUACAAGGAUUAUUUACUAUGAACAAAUAUUGCAAUGUUCAUUGGUAGUACUGUUUGUUGAGGUGAUGCCUCUGCUACAGUAGGUAAUCUAGGAUGCUUUGUAUCCCUAGACCCACACCCACACACGACCGCCAUCUCCCACUUUCCUCAGUAUCACGACCUGAUGCGACGUUGGCAGCGCAAUCAGUCGGAGGAGGCCAGUGCUGACGAUGACGACUCUGCGAUGGGGAAAGGUCGCUUGUCGUCGCGGCACCAGCAAUUCCACGAUCGCAUAAUACCCGCAUGUUGAUGACCUCCAUGACUCUCCGGCCUCCUCCCUCCAGGUACCUCGCCAAACCCUAACCGUCUCAGGUUCACAGUUUAUUAUUAUACUACUAUUGUUUAAUUAGAUGGUAACAUAAAACUUGGAGUGUUUGAUAGGAGUUCUUAUUCACGGUCUGAGAUGCUAACUGGGUUCUCUCUGUCUCUCACAAGUUUGUCCUUGUGUUAUCUCUUUAUUCAGGGUACUCCCUCCGUUUCUAAAUGUAAGAUCUUUUAGAGAUUUCACUAUAGACUACAUACGUAACAAAAGGAGUAAAUCUACACUCUAAAGUAUGUCUAUAUACAUCCGUAUGUAGUCCACAGUGGAAUCUCUAAAAGGUCUUAUAUUUAGAAACGGAGGGAGUAAAAAAAUGCCUAGAAUAAAGAAAUGAUGAAUUGUAUUGUACACAUUAUUGUAGUUAAAGAUUAUGUUUAAAAUCGAUCACACUUUGGAUGCUGCCAACUUGCAGGGUCGAUGAGACAUUAAAUUGCCAUAUUGCUUUUCCCUCUUCUUCACGUGUUAGGAAUAUAUCUUUAACAAUAGAAUUUAAUAUUUGUGGUUUCACAUAAGGAAGAGACGGUAUUAUAUCAGUCACGAGUGAUGGAGUCAUGUGGUUGUUGCCGUCGUGCUAAAUGUUGGUGCAGUGUAAAAUUCCUGAGCUAGACAUUAUGGUACAAUAUUAAUUUUAGGAUUGUUGCCAAUCAUACCCGUCUGUAGCUAUAUCAUAUUGCAAAAUUCCAUGAACAUUUGGUCCACACUAUUUUUCUGUUAUAUUGUUCCUGCCCAAGGGUGGAUGAAGGUGGACGUGGGCGCCGCGGCUGCCACCAAGGAUGUAGGGGUCACGCUACAACCGGUGAGGACACGGUAGGCACGCCAACCGCACUAUAGCCUUACAAUUUUUCCUAAUUUCUCUAGGUAUGCGAGAUCAAUUUAAUAUUCACAUAUAUGCUGAAAUUUUGACUUAGAAAAACCAGCACUGAAGUUAUAUGAAGUUUCUUGCGAGAGCUAUAUCAUUCUUUUUAGUACUACAAAUUAAUUCCCAUGAGUACCAAUGGUGAGAUUUUGAGGCGUAAAUACUGGAUGUGAUUCUCAUUGCUGGCAAUCUUCAUGAACCUAUCAAGGAGAACAUUGCAAUACUUAUCCGUUGCACAGGCGUUCUCAACACUGGCUAGCAACAAGAGAGAAUGAUUGUUCAAUGCUCACUGUUGUAAGCUUGAUUCAAGAGGAGCUUCUCAAUGUUGUACAUGUAGGCUGUGAGUAACAGAAAUAAUACCUAUUUGUUCACUCUUUUCCUGUACCUAUGAUUCAUCUGCCACUAUUCAGUAGAGUUCAGUUAUGUGCUUCAAUAUUAGGAAGUCAUCAUCUUCUAAAACAUACCGUUGCCUACUCAACAUAUUUUGUUCCUUUUUGUUUCCAACAGAUUAUGUAUAAACACAUGUGUACAAUAGAAGCGGCAGAACCUGCAUUGGACCGUCCUCAUUUGCUCUGUCCAUUUUUUCCAAAGAAAUAACACUUCUGCAGUCCUAUGCAUUCAGAAAUACGAUUUAGUGUGCUAUUAAUCCUCGUAAUCGCACGCUAUAUUUUCUGUGGGAAUUUCAUCCAUUCUGAUUUUGAGGCAAAUAUAUCAGUUAAUUUUUUUAUUCUAGCAAGGUACCAUAUACAUGUUAUGAAAUUCUCCUUUGCCUACCAGGUCAACCACUUAGGCAGGAGGGAAUUCAUUUAUCAAUAAAAAUAAAUUUGUCUGAGGGAAUGUUAUCUUAUUUCUCCAGUAUAACCAAAUGAACACUACGAUGAACUUAACAUCUCUCUAUCAUUAUUUCUCUAAGAUGCAAGCGAUAUAUAAAAUUUAAAAAGCCCGUGGUAACGCACGGGCAGUCUACUAGUUUCGUUCAGUUCAUGAGCAGUGGACAACCAGCUCAAGAGCAAGGCCUUUUUCAAGGUACCAACCAUAAUGCCACAUCUCUUUUUUGUGCCACGCAUUCAUCACUACAUUGUACAAAUUCCAAGGGAAUAAUGCUAAAAUAACAUGUUGUUGCUACAUUUUAAUGUAACGGUAUUGAUGCAGAUGACUUGUGUGCUUAAUUAUGAAGUUAAUUACUCGGCAGCACAUUUAUUUUCCAAGUCGCCACAGGGAAUUAUUCUUUUGGGAUCAUAUUUAUUCUCUGCAAAAGGUAGUCUCAACUUGCUUAAUGGCCACAUUUGACGGUUGCUUAAACCUUCUGGACAAGACGCAGACAUACAACUGUGUGACAACUUAAUGCCUUUUGAGGAAUUUUGAUUGCUUUUCCUAACAAGAAAGCAUAACAAUAUCUGCGAAUGUUAAUUACUUAGUUUACCAAAGGUAAAUGUCUGCGACAUGACAAGUAUGUGGAUUGAUUUUAAGUGAACCGACUAACUGGAUGAUUUGGUUCUUUGUGCUAAGUCUUUGAAAAAGAACGUACUUAUAUGUUCUACUGUAUUAUAUCAUAUGGCUAAUGCCAUAUUUGUUACAUACUAGCUAAAGAUGAAGAAAUAUUUACGCAAAGAACAUUCAUUUUCACAUUGCUUGGCAUGCGUCUAGGUCAUUCUAUUUAUUACCAUUGCUGAAAGCUGUACUUCUGCAUGCCGAUAGUUUCAUUCGAAUAGCUCUCCUUAGAUUUUUUCAUAGUUCAUUCCUUCUAGUUGUUUGAUAGCUUUGUGAUUAUUUCAAGAAAAUUGAUCUGUCUUGCAGACUGAAAGCAAUCUCAUCCAGUAGUUUGAUAUUAUGGUCAUUGCUCCAAACAAAUUGAUCAGUGUAGCAAACCGAAAACAAUUGGAUGCUGAUGCAAUCAUGGCCUGAGAUUAUUAACGAGUAAGGACAUGCAUAGAGUUGCUUCCUACUGGUACAUAACUAUUUUCUUUCUACAGGUACUAUGUUGAAUCUUCAUAGAUCUCAUCUUCAUGAGACUAGCGAAGGGUAUACGUUAGGAUGGAGAGAUGAGAAAUUAACCAGAUAGUACAUGGCUGAAUAAUUUUGAACUAGCUACUAUUUCUACAUGGAGUGCCAUGUUCAAAUAGACGAAGUGAAGUUGUAGUGGGUUCUGAGCCAUUCUUAUAAAGAUAGGGGUGUGUAGUAGCUAGCGGAGCUACGUAGCAAAAGCUGGGCGGGCCGGUAUGAAGAAAGACCACUAUUUUUUGUCCUCGUGACUCAAUUUACUUUAAUCCUACACUGCAUUUGCUCUUGAAUGGGCGGGCCAUGGCCCAUUUUCAUCACACGUAGCUCCGCCAGUGGGGGUGUGCCAUAUUAUUUUUCUCUCUUUGCAACGCACUACUCUUUCAUCGGAUGAAAUGAGAGUGUGGAGCUGAAAUAGGUCAGGAUGAACAUUGUUAGGAUACGUCCAAAUUUCAUGGCCAAAAAAGAAAUAUUCGGUGUAACCUUAUUUCUGACUUUGCAAAAAAUUAGAUUAAAAAGUGUUGCAUAAUGGCACGUGGAGCAGGUUAUAUUUAA